UCUCAGUUCGGAUUGAAGGCUGAAAUUCGCCUUCAUGAAGCUGGAAUUGCUAGUAAUGGCAGGUCAGCAUACUGCCGUGAAUACGUUCCCGGGCCUUGUACACACCGCCCGUCACACCAUGAGAGUUGGAAAUACCCGAAGCCUGUGAGCUAACUGUAAAGAGGCAGCAGUCGAAGGUAGAGCCAAUGAUUGGGGUGAAGUCGUAACAAGGUACC
rnacentral:rRNA from 1 species